GCAUGGUUUCAUUAUUAAAGGAUUCCGGUAAAGGAUGGGGAUGCGUUCCAUUAGGUUGUUGGUGAGGUAACGGCCCACCAAGCCUUCGAUGGAUAGGGGUUCUGAGAGGAAGGUCCCCCACAUUGGAACUGAGACACGGUCCAAACUCCUACGGGAGGCAGCAGUGAGGAAUAUUGGUCAAUGGGCGUUAGCCUGAACCAGCCAAGUAGCGUGAAGGAUGAAGGCUCUAUGGGUCGUAAACUUCUUUUAUAUAAGAAUAAAGUGCAGUAUGUAUACUGUUUUGUAUGUAUUAUAUGAAUAAGGAUCGGCUAACUCCGUGCCAGCAGCCGCGGUAAUACGGAGGAUCCGAGCGUUAUCCGGAUUUAUUGGGUUUAAAGGGAGCGUAGGUGGACUGGUAAGUCAGUUGUGAAAGUUUGCGGCUCAACCGUAAAAUUGCAGUUGAUACUGUCAGUCUUGAGUACAGUAGAGGUGGGCGGAAUUCGUGGUGUAGCGGUGAAAUGCUUAGAUAUCACGAAGAACUCCGAUUGCGAAGGCAGCUCACUGGACUGCAACUGACACUGAUGCUCGAAAGUGUGGGUAUCAAACAGGAUUAGAUACCCUGGUAGUCCACACAGUAAACGAUGAAUACUCGCUGUUUGCGAUAUACAGUAAGCGGCC
rnacentral:rRNA from 1 species